AGAUCUCCCUUCGAAGGGAGACCGAUCGAACACUUGUGUGAUAUCAGAGUGAUGUU
rnacentral:sRNA from 1 species